rnacentral:tRNA from 1 species
GACAGUUUAGCCGAGUGGUCCAAGGCGCUGGCUUUGGGCGGCAGCCUGGAAGGGCGUGGGCCUAACCCCACGGCUGUCA